AGAGCGAACGCUGGCGGCAGGCCUAAUACAUGCAAGUCGAACGGAUCCUUCGGGAUUAGUGGCGGACGGGUGAGUAACACGUGGGAACGUGCCCUUUGGUUCGGAACAACUCAGGGAAACUUGAGCUAAUACCGAAUGUGCCCUUCGGGGGAAAGAUUUAUCGCCAUUGGAGCGGCCCGCGUCUGAUUAGCUAGUUGGUGAGGUAAAGGCUCACCAAGGCAACGAUGGGUAGCUGGUCUGAGAGGACGAUCGGCCACACUGGGACUGAGACACGGCCCAGACUCCUACGGGAGGCAGCAGUGGGGAAUCUUACGCAAUGCGCGAAAGCGUGACGCAGCAACGCCGCGUGGGGGAAGACGGCCUUCGGGUUGUAAACCCCGUUUCAGUUGGGACGAAGCUUCGCCGGUGAAGUAGCCGGCUGGAGUGACGGUACCUUCAGAAGAAGCCCCGGCUAACGUACGUGCCAGCAGCCGC
rnacentral:rRNA from 1 species